GGGGGGGGGGGGGGGGGGGGCGGGGGGGGGGGAGGGGGGGGGAGAGGGGGGGAGCGGGCUCCUCGGACGGUAGCGGGGGAGGGGGGAGUGACACGUGGGUAACCUGACGGGAAGAGGGGGAUGAGUUCGGGAAACCGGAGUAAAUACCGGGUAAUAUAGUGAACCGCAUGGGUCACUAGUGAAAGACGGGUUUGGUGUCAGUUAUGGAGGGAUCCGCGCCGCAUUAGCUAGUUGGUGAGGUAACGGCUUACCAAGGCAACGAGGCGUAGCCGACCUGAGAGGGUGAUCGGCCACACUGGAACUGAGACACGGUCCAGACUCCUACGGGAGGCAGCAGUAGGGAAUCUUCCGCAAUGGGCGAAAGCCUGACGGAGCAACGCCGCGUGAGUGAUGAAGGUCUUCGGAUCGUAAAACUCUGUUAUUAGGGAAGAACAAAUGUGUAAGUAACUAUGCACGUCUUGACGGUACCUAAUCAGAAAGCCACGGCUAACUACGUG
rnacentral:rRNA from 1 species